UUGGGGGGUAUCCCCGGGAAGAGAUCCAGUGGAGACGGGGUGGGCCUGUAGCUCAGAGGAUUAGAGCACGUGGC
rnacentral:tRNA from 1 species